GGAAGCUUAGCUCAGUUGGUUAGAGCAUCUGCCUUACAAGCAGGGGGUCACAGGUUCGAGUCCUGUAGCUUCCACCA
rnacentral:tRNA from 3 species